AGGAAAGGGUCGCCGGGGUCAGCCGGCUGCAUUCCGGGUGUCGGGGCCGUGAGUCCGAGGGAUGAGGAGGGGCCAUGGCCAGCGACGGGGCCAGGAAGCAGUUCUGGAAGCGCAGCAACACCAAAGUCCCGGGCAGCAUCCAGCAUGUGUAUGGCGCCCAGCACCCCCCCUUCGACCCACUGUUACAUGGCACCCUGCUCAAGGCCACGCCCAAGGUGCCCACCACACCGGUGAAGGCCAGGAGGACCAGCACCUUCCAGGAGUUUGAGAGCAACACCAGCGAUGCCUGG